UCUUCAUCAUCAUCUUCAGUAAAAGUAGCCAUCUUCAUUAUCUUCACAGCUGAAGUAGUCAUGUUCCGAGUCUUGCUCAUCUUCACAUAGAUCAACACCUGAUUCAGACUCAUCGGAUUCAGACCUGUCAUUAGCAUCUUCCAAGUCAUCGGAUUCAGACUCACCAUCUUCCGUAAAUAUAGACAGGUCGUCAUCAUCCUGUGUCAUUACCAGGUGGACCCCGAAGCUAUUAAAACGCAGCGAAUCUUGUGUCAAAUUCUGAAAAUUAACUUGACACGCAAAAGGCGACUGCGGCCAGGUAAUCUGAUCAUCCCGGUAAAACAUUUCUCUGAAUCGAAUAUAGCACAGCCACACAUGACCUGACCCUAUCUUUCUGAAAUGGUAAUCGAACUGAAUAUAAUGAGGUACCACUUCUGGUUGAUUGACGGAAAUUUUUGUUAGAAAACCAUGGUAACGUCGUCUUUUAUUUUGCGGGUUUUCAACAGCAGCAUAUAGAGCCAAUCCUUGGUUCUGGCAUUUGAAGUUUGGAGGGAUUUCAAUCAAAAGUUCACAUGCUUCAUCACGCUCCUUCACAUCGUUAUGACAGCUGAACAACGUCGAGAGAGCUUCAAAACUUGCUGGAAAUACAACCUGAAAUCCAUGUUUCUGUGAAGACAGAAGGUGAUCAAAGAAGAGUGUGAUCUGCUCCUUUGGUAGAAUGUUUGGUUUCUUUGGGAGGUCACGAGCCAGAUUGCCGCACAGUCUCUGGCAAUUACACAAGUCCACCAACUCAAUCAUUUGUGAGUCUUUUUUACCUUUCAGAAUGUUGGACAAUGAUGAAAACCUUUCCAAUGAUAUGCAAUCACUCGCCUCUAACUUUACUAUUUUUGGUGGAAGUUCCGGAAUAUCUUGAAGCCUCUUGCAGCCAUGCAAGUAAAGCUCCCGCAAAUUGACAAAUUUCAUAAUGCAUACGGGAAUACUUACAAGGAAAUCACUUCUUGUUAGAUCAAGUGCACUCAAUGUAGACACACAAUCAAGAGUUCUGAGGAAAUUAAUUUCUGAUAAAUUGCUUCCUUCCAAAGUGAAUGCCUCAAGUCUGGGAAGCGCUAAAGGAUGUGAUACUGCACUCCCCAAAACUUCAGACUUCACUUUAUUUGGAAAUGUAACAAGCUUUCGACUUCCUUGGAGACAAACGUGGUUUAGAUGUUCCAACUCAUAAAUGCUGGGUGGCAGAUUCGUAAGAUUUUCACGAUUCCUUAGGUCUAAAAAUUCAAGACUGAUGAGAUAUGCAAUUGAUGCAGGCAAUUCUUUGAAGCCACUACCAGAUAGAAACAUGCAACGUAAGGAAUCCAUCUUUCCCCCAAUUUCAGGGAAAGUCUCCAGUCUUCUGCAAUCUUCAAGAUUGAGAACUUGUAGAGAUUUUGACUGGAUUAUUGGAAAUAGUGUGAGGUUAUAGCAUCUCACAAGACUCAAGUCAACAAGCUUAUCAUGAAAUCCAACAGAAGGAUGAACCUCAACUAAACUCGUGCAGUCGUCCAGAUUCAAGGACUGUAAGUUUGGAAUUCCAGAGAUAUUUGGGGUUUUUGUUAGGAAUUCACAGCUCUCAAAAUUCAUGGACUUCAAAUUUUGCAAACGCUAUAUGAGACAAAAAUAGAAAAGAAAAAGAAGGAUCAAACGAUAAGGCAUAAACAAGUGCAAGCCAUAACUCCAAAAACUUAAUAAACUUUUGAAAAUACGAAGGGAUGAAAAUAAUUUAAAUUACCUUGAAUCCCUCCCCAAGUUGUGACAAGCGGCUACAAGGCAUAUAAAGUUCAACAAGUUUACUUGGAUUGAAAGUAGAUGGUAAAGUUUGUAGAGGACAAUCAGGCCAAUGAAGAAACCUCAACUCAUUAGAUAGAUAAUCCACGUGAUCACCAUAAAAUCGUGCAUUCACAUUGAUGAAAAGUCGAAGGUUUUUCAUCUCUGAGAAGCUGUCACCACUCAAGCAUAUGUCAUCUGGUGUCGGAAACUUUGCUAUGAUGCCUUUAAUAUUGUUUGUUCCCUAUUAUCAAAAAGCAGUAGUGUUAACAUACAAAGCUCUUUAGCAAAUAAAAAUGCAAGUGUACACAUCACACACACAGACUUACUGUUCCUUCUGUUAGAACACGAUAAACAUCCUCGUGAAACCACAAUCUGCUACGUUCACCAGGCUCAUCUGGCGACUCUUGAUAAACUAUUCCUCUACCCAAUUCUUCAAGCAAGUCAUGCAUCCCAAUUAUGCCUUGUUCAAUAUUUAUGAGGGCCUUGUCUACGAGUACUUUAAUAGCAUACUUAGGCUUGAGGUCACAACCUUCCAGGAUCGGUAUCACAUGGUUCACCUUUCUACCGUUAAAGAAACAUGCUAUAUCAAGGAAGACUUCUUGCACCGAAUAUUCCAAUGCAUCAUAGCUUAUUUUGAGAGUUUUUUUAAUGUCCGAGUGCAGAUUCCCAUCCAAUGCAUCAUGCCACUCAUCUAUACUUCUACCACAUAGAUGGGAACCUAAAACCUUGAGAGCUAAAGGAAGACCUUGAGCAUGCUUCACCACAGUUUCUGCAGCUUUCACAUAAUCAUCAUCCAAAUUUUUAUUUCUCCCACCAUUCCAACUAAUGAAGAGAUCAAGAGAUUCACCAAAGUUUAAUUUCUUGGCCUUGUAUAUAAUACUAACUUGAUGAGAUCUUAGCAAAUGCUUAUCUCUUGUCGUUAUGAUAAUUCUACUGCCCAAACCAAACCAAUCACAACCUCCAACUAAGUUGUUUAAUUGGUCCAAAUGAUCCACAUCAUCUACAAUUACAAGGACCUUUUUACCACUCAACCUUUCCUUUAUCACACUGAUUCCUUUAUCGGCACUGGUAACCUUUAUUUCCUUUCCUCUUAGAAUCUCAUAAAGAAGAAGAUUUUGUAGGUCGACUAGGCCUCCAUAUGGUAUUGAUCUUUCUCUUACAUUUUCCAGAAAACAACUCCCUUCAAACACAUGGGCCAGUGAGUUAUAAACAGCUUUAGCAACAGUUGUCUUUCCUAUUCCACCAUUCCCCCAUAUUCCUACCAUGCGAACAUCAUUUCUGUCAACGUCUAAAACUUUACGAAUAUCUAGUACACGAGCCUCUAUUCCAACUUGGUAUUUUGCCACAUUGAUAUGGGUAUCCUUUAAUACUUGUAAGGAAAUCUCGUUGACAAUGUUCUGAAUAAAUUCAGUUUCAGGGCUGCCAAUUUUAAGCACAAACAACAUUUAAAUAAAAUGGGAUUUUUCUAUAUAUGUUUUAAAGAAGUGCUCGACUCGAUACUAGUGUAAAUUAUGUCGUGAAUUUUAGAUGAUGGAGUUACUACAUCAUGAUAUUUGAUAUGUCUAGACACUUCUUCUUAUUAAAAUCUCGGUUUAUUAGUUAAAAGUUGGACUCAACAUCCAUAACUGUCUUACAUUUAUCAAGAAGAAUAAUUAAAUGAGGGUUUUAUAAUCAACAUAAGGAAGAGCUGUUUGGUAGGUAUCUAAGACUAAUAAAUUAAUUAAGUAUUUUGUUCUUGGAAAUUAUGUAAUUUAUGGACAACAUUUUAUAUAUGUUUGUUGCAUGUUAUCAUAUACCAUAGGCUUAAUUUUUUCAAAUCCUCUAGGUGUGGGAUUGCCCUGGAGAGAGAGAGAGAGAGAGAGAGAGAGAGAGAGAGAGAGAGAGAGAGAGAGAGAGAGAGAGAGAGAGAGAGAGAGAGAGAGAGAGAGAGAGGUGGUGGAUGGGAUAGAGGAAGGUGGAGGGAGGGUCAUAAGAGAGGCGUGAGUGCGGCUGUUUAUGGCAGGGAUGGGUUGAUUUGAGAACUUAUUAUUUUUUUCACAAUAUUAAACCCAAAUAAAUAAGUUAGGGAAAGUACAUCAAACAUGGUUUUCUUCUUCUGUCUUACACUCCCCUUCUAUUUUCUUACUCUAUCGUUUAAUCGCUCUUCUCGAUUUCUCCUUACUAAACAAUUGUUUAUCAAACAUGUUACUAUUGUAAUAGAUUUUGAUGUUGUCUUUUGUCUAUUUUUGCUCAUUUUGCUUCAAGAUCUUGAAUUUGUCGUUUGGUGGUUGACAAAUGAAGUGCAGAAAAUAUAUCUAAUCUGUAGUUUCUAUUCAUUUUCAGUACUUUUGAUUGCAUAUCUUGAAUUUAUAUUGUUUGAUGGCUGAGAACAUGAGGGAAAAACAAACAAUUAGAAAAUUCAUGAACAAGCUAUGAUGUUAGGGAAAGCUUGUGAUGGAAUGGACACUACGAUAACAAUAGAAGAGAUUGGUUUUCGUAACAGAGUGAUUUUAUUAGAAAGGAGAGAUGUACACUGCUUGCUUGGUGUAGAACUAUGAGGCUAUUAAUAAUGUAGCUAUUGGUUGGCUAAUUGGCCUUUCAGUGAUGUAACUAUUUGCUACUUAGUGGGUUUGUAAGAUUGCAGGAUUUCAUCCAACACAAAAAAUAAAGGACUGCAGGAUUCCACUGGCAUAUUACACAAAGCCUUGUAAUCUCCUCUGUUUCUAUUAGAUUGUGUGAGGCUUAGAUAUAAGAAUAGUGUUUGGCUUUCUAGUAGAUUUCUUAGUUACAAUUCACAUUACAACACUUCAAUCCUAUUUAUUGGCAAUGUUUUCCGGCAAGUUUGCCGACUUGACCAACCACCAUGUCUACUACUUGGCUUUAUCAAAUAUUAUCAGCCACAUAAGCUGCAGCUUGCUCUAGACUGGAGCAUUCUACAAAACUCCUUAUAUGUUUGUGGCUAUUUGUUUAGCCGGCAAAGUUCACCGACUUGGUCAUUUAGUCCAGUAGCUACCCUCUUCUAGAUUCUACUACAAUUAUCUUAGAUAUCUGAUAGCUAUUGUAGCACUUUGGGAUUCUAAAUUAUUACUCUAGAGAUUUCUACCAAAUGUCCAUCACAUUUUAACAGUUAAAAUAACAGAUUCUGCAACCCUGGGAGAAAUAAAUUGAAAUUAAGGCAGAGCCUCCUGAUCCUAAAUGUAUAUUAAAGAUAGAAAUAUACCGCAUUCAGAAAAGAAAAAAAACAUACCCCUCCAAGUAAUGCGACCCAGACAAAUUUGCAGCUUCUGUAAGGGUUUCCUUCCAUCUCAGCACCUUCUUCAUAUUGUCCUCGAAUUUACUUUCAUCAUGGUUAGUAAGUCUCUGUUCUUUGAAUUUGCGUUCAUGGUUAUUCAGUGCCUCGCCAUAACUACCUCUUUGGUUCCUUACAUCUGAGGGAUCCACUUUGUAGAAAACUGGCCAAACCAUCUGUUGCUUUGAUUUUCUACACUGAAUGAUAUGAACAAGUUCAUCCAAGCACCACUUCGAGGAUGCAUAGUUUUCAGAGAAUACGAUGAUGGAACACCUCGAUCCUUCAAUUGCAUCAAGAAGUGCUUGUGAUAUUUCUUCUCCUCUUGGGAGCUCAUCAUCUAUGAAGGUUCUGAUGCCCCUCUGGACCAAAUUUUUGUGUAGAUGGUCUGUGAAAUUGUAGCGUGUGUCCUCACCUCUAAAGCUGAGAAACACAUCGUGUGUCCAUGAAUUGGUGAAAGAAGAAGAAGAAGAAGGGGAAGGAGCUCCUAAUAAUUGAGUGGUGCUUAGAUCCAUAUUGUUGAAAAUUGAACAGGCUGAAAGGGUUGGAAAUUAUGGUGAUUUAUUGUCCAAGAGUUUCUGGUUGGCAAUGUCAGUGGAGAGAAGAAACAUGCGAGUGAAAAAUCUUGGUCUUUCUGGGCCCCAAGAGCUCCUACCCCUGCUGGGUCUCUCUAGACCCGAGGGACAGUUUAACCAAAAAUAAACGUAGUAAUAAUAACACACUGGUAACAGCACUCUCACCCAAUUGUCAUGACAAAUAGCAAGGGCUGUUACUAUUUAUGCAAAAUUGGUCAAAGAAAGUAUUCGGUACUCUGUCAUUAAGACAAUUUACGCCCCACUACAUUGCUCAUGGUUGCGUUUGUCUCCUAAAAUACAACCACCACUUACAAUUGUAACUUUUUUCAUUUUACAUUUCAAACUUCAAAUCCAGUCGGCAAUUAGACCAGUAUUAACUAGUACAUGCAGUUACAUAAAAAUUUGAAUGCAAACCCUUUGUGUCUAGAAACAAUUCUGCACUAAAAAUAGUUUUCAGUUCAACAUUGGUCGUGUGUGUUUAUUUUCUUGUCUCACCACAACAACUUCCAAAACCACAGCAAAGCUAGCUGCAGUCAUUUUGUCACAAAAUUGUUCGUUUGUUAAAAAUAGUUUAUGGUUUAAUGGUUUGUUCUGUUAAGGGAAAGCUUGGUUGCAAUAAUUAAACUUUUGGUUUAUAUAUAAUUCCUUUAAAUCCAAAUGUAAGAACCAUUAAUUCAUCCGCUAAUAGCUUGCAAAAAUUGAUUAAAAUGGAAAAACAAAAAACAAAUACACAUCAAAUUAAUAGUACAGUUAUAUAUAUGCAAGAUUAGACUAAUAUUUUAAACAUGUUUACAAGGUGUUCACCAAGGCACAAAACGGUCCAUAAGCAAACAGACUGUGGCCUCUGAAAGCGUAGAGGAAUCCAAGUCCCUCUGAAUCUGAGCCAUUCUGCUGCUCUCUUUUCUUGCUUCUUUCAACACUUGUUCUUCUUCAACCUCAUCAUCACCCUCUCCUUGUUUGCCCUUUGAUGAAAACACCAUUCGCUUCUUAGCUCCUACCUUGUCUUUCAGCUUUGCAAACUCGCUCAUCCAAACCUCCACCACUGCAGACAUAAUUGAACUACUUGAAAACUUGAAAUUAUUGCUUGGUCUUGACUCUUGAGUUUGAUCAAGGAUGAUGAGGAGAGCUGGCUAUUAUGCUUGUUGGGUUAUAUAGAAGACAGAGAGAGAGAGAGAAAGAAAGAGGGCCUUGCCCUUCAUGUGGUUUGGAUUGGAUGAAAAAUAAGUGUGUCACAGCCGUUGGAUAUAGGUUCGCACACAGGAUUUAGUUUUAGGAAUAUUCGUUGGAGAGAGAGAGAGAGAGAGAGAGCAGAAGUGGGGUAUGAGUUUUGUGGAGUGAAUGAAAAGCUUCUCCGUGGGCGUGUGUCCUCACCUCUAAAACUGAGAAACACAUCGUGGGUCCAUGAAUUGGUGAAAGAAGAAGAAGAAGAAGGGGAAGGAGCUCCUAAUAAUUGAGUGGUGUCUAGAUCCAUAUUGUUGAAAAUUGAACAGGCUGAAAGGGUUGGAAAUUAUAGUGAUUUAUUGUCCAAGAGUCUCUGGUUGGCAAUGUCAGUGGGCAGAAGAAUCAUGUGAGUGAAAAGUCUUCGUCUAUGUGGGCCCCAAGAGCCCCUACCUCUGCUGGGUCUCUCCAAUCUAGGAGAAAUUAUAGAGUAGUACCGUAUCACCACGUCAGCUGGUGAUACUUCCACUCAAAAUAUGCCAUGUGUAAUUUUUUAAAAUUAAUUAUUCUUCAUUACAGCUGGACUUUAUUUUUAUCCGCUGAAAUAAAUUAGAAAAAUAAAAAACUUAAAAAAAAAAAGAGAGAAUAUCCCAGCAACCCAACCCUUACCCCCACGCCACCCCUCUGUCGUCGUCUUCCGACUGCCAUCAACAGUCAUUAGUAAGAGAGCCAAAUCCCCACAGCCUAAUAAAUUUUUGCAACAAGGAAACUUCAUCAUCAUUGUCAAUGAAUGUUAAUAUAUGAUGGAGUUUAUUAGAUCCAAUAUAAUACCCAACACAAUCAACCCUUUCCAUAUCAAUUUCAUGCUGGUCGAUUUGUAGCCUGUUUGUUAUAGACCCACCUCCCAUCCCAACCUUCUUCACAUCUGCUAGUGAGACCUUCAUCAAUGAAAAAAUAUAUAUGGAUCUUGGGGUAGUCACCAAAAGGUUGAGAAAGUUGAAGAACGGCAACAGAGAGAGAGAGAGAGAGAGAAAUAAAUAAAAGAGAGGGACGGGGCGGCGACCAGAGCGGCGGUGCGAGGUAGGCAUGUUGGGGGUAGGCUGUGGCUAUGCUCUUUUUUUUUCCAUUGUUUAUUUUCUUAAUUUUAUUUUAAAGGGUAAAAAUUAGGUUAAUGUCCAGUUGUAAAAUAAAGUUUGAGUUGUUAAAAAAUAAAGACACAUGUCAUAUUUUGAGUGGGAAUAUCACCAGCUGACGUGGUGAUACGGUACUACUCUAUAAUUUCUCCCAAUCUAGACCCGAGGGACAGUUUUAAUUUUAUAUGAUUAUUUAUAAUUCCAACAGCUAUAUUUUAUAAUUAUCUUUUUGUUUUGCUUUCUCUUUUCGUUAUAUUUUCUUCUUUUUAUUUAUAAUUAUUGUUUAUCUUUAUUAAUGAUUGUCGUUUAUUUUUUCAAAUUCAAUGAUAAAUCACAUAAUUCAGGUCCUUUAGAAAACUACUUUCAGGUCCUUUUCACUAAUAACCAAAAUAAAUACAACCAAAUUAAUAAAUGGCUUGGCAUGAGGAGUUUAUGGCAUGGGAGCUAAGCUUUCACAAGUUUAGCAAUUUAAGAAAGAGAAAGCAUGAGUUUCUUGCAUAAUACAAAGAUCAAAAUGGGGCAGAAGAAAAUUAGGAGGAUUCCUAUCUUAGGGAAAGAAGAAAACAGCGAGAGAAGAAGAUUGGGUGGCUUGAGUAAAUUCUCAGUUGCUUGACAAAGCUUGGUCAGGCUCUGGAUGAUGAUUUUGCUGGGUAAUGAGCCCUUUGUGGUUCCAAGGGUUUGACGCAGCUGGACCUCCUCAUGAAGGUGAGGCGCACUUGCUUUCCUUCUUGGUUUUCAAAACGGAGCUAACAGAGGAAAAGAAAACAGGUAUAGUCUUUUGCCCGGUGGGUACUUUCCUUACAUACAUGGAUUUCCUUUGGUUCCUGCUAUGGCUUCCCAUUGACUGUCUUGAAGCUUUGACAAAGAUGGAGCACGAUGUCAGAUUUUUAUAAGGCGUUGGGCUGGGCUUGUGUGUACAGUGUUGGGUUAUUAACGUAUUAUCUCCAGCAUCUAAUGGGUUUUCAUCAAGCUGCCGGAAAUAGCUUACUUAUCUUAGGCAUUUUUACUGAUGUAGGUUUAUCUAAGUGUCAUAAUAGGUUACUAGAUGUCCUCCUAAGGCAUUGGACCAUUCUUUUCUCCUUCUUUCAUGCUAACCCAUGUAUUUGGGCCUGAAGAAUGGGCCUGAGUUUUAAUACUCCCAAGUAGCUUAAAACUUUCAUUCCUCGAACCCUCAAUGGGCCCUGUGAUUGCUUGUUUCCUUCCAUACCACAACAUUCUCAGCAAGCCCCGGGUAAUUUUGUGGCUUGGACUCACUUAAGCUUGUGGCACAGCUUGGUAUUAGAAUAGUGGUCCUUUGCACGGCAUUUAUUUAACAUGCUUGCAUUUGAGUUUUUAUCAUGCCGUGAUAGGCUAUAAUUGGGCCAAGUAACACUGGAUGGGUAGAUGAGCAUGAUUUUGUGGAGCCGGUAUGCUCUUGACCCCUUUUGUGCAUGCUUGCUUGGUAUGACACGUGAAUUGUGGCUUGCAUUGAUGCGUCCUUCAAAUUCUCUUUUGUUCCGAUCGGGCUCCUUUUGCAUUCAAUCUCUCUGUGUUAGGCCAGAAAUUGAUCUGGGCCUAGCUCCUUGAAUUUCUAGGCCUCAACAAAUGCAAAUCCUUUGUGACUAAAAACAAUUCUGCACUAAAAUUUUUGAAAAAUAAUAUCGAUGCCUUUAUCAACAAAAUGGCCUAAUUCACAGAAUUUAGGUAAAUUUUAAACAAAAAUUGAUUAAAAAAACCAGAGAAAUGCCAUCAUAUUUUAAUCCCCACUAGAUACAUGCACAUAAGACGCGCUUAGGAUAUUCAUUCGGAUAUAAAAUCAAUAGGAUCCAAAAUUUGGUGUUUAUCAGAUUUAGGAUGAUAAGCUAAAUUUGAUAGUCUCAAUACGACUUGAAUUGAAUUCGGUAAUCUUAUUAUAAUUCACAUUGUUUGUUAACUUGUAAUAUAAUCACCUUAAAUCACUCAAACUCACUAUGCAACACAUUUCAUUCAAUUCUUUUGUGUCAAAAUAAUUGACUACUUGAACAUCUUUUAAAAGUUUCAUUACGUCAAUGGGGUAUAACUCAGUUGACUAAGCUCUUCCACCUCCACUCAUGUAGGCAAAAGUUCGAGACACUCAGGCACCUAAUGAAUAUUUGUGUAAACCACCCCCCCAAUCACUUGUACUAUAUAAAAAAAUUCAUUACAAAUUUUCAUGUUUUUCUUAUCAUUUCCAUUAUUUUUAAAAAAAAAAUCUAGUUUUUAUCAAUAUCGAAAAUUUUUCACGUAUAUAUAUUUCCAAAUUUUUAGACCACAAAUAUUUUUGAAACCAUCGAUAUUUAGUACCUUACUUCUUACCAAAAAACUUUCUGUAAGGAUUGUAUUUUGACAUGUUUGUUGUUUGGCUCUUCUCUUGUAUUUCACAAAACCAUUGUAUUAAUUCUUGUUAUAGACUAGAGGUUGUGUCUGAAAUAGAUUGAAGAUAAAUUCGAGUCCUCACGUUGCUGCCAAAGGUAAAUCUCACAUGCAUUCUCACUGGAUUAAUACAUGUUCACGUGUAUUAAUCCAACAUUCAUUCUUACGUGUUUGCUGCAACAUUUCUCUUUAUUUCAGCUUUGACAGACUUUCUUAAAACUCUGUCUACAAAAGGAAUAAUUCUAUCUUUGGUGGUGGUGUCUUGAGCCGCUCCCAUGCUAAAAGUCUGGAGCUUGAAAAAACAGUGUGAUUUUCAAAAGCUCUAUAUAUAUAUUCUUCUAGACAGAGUUGCAAAAACAACUUUUUGACUCAUGCAUUUUUAAUAGAUGACUUAUGCCUUCUUUCUAGAUAUACUCUGGACAUGAAAACCGAGAGGGAAUAAAACUCUGAAAAGAGUUUGCCUUCAGCCAAAGUUCAUAUCCUGAGGGUUAUGAGAAUGAUUGCAUUCACAUAAAUGCUUCCCCAAGAUGACUUUAAAGCUUUAAUGGCUGGCUGUUUUUUCUUCACUUCAAUCUUCUUUAAUGUUUCAGCUAGUAUAUGUUACUUGAGAGUAUACGAUUGAUAGUAUACAUAUAACCUUCUCCGUGUAUACAUUUACAAGAUUGCGGCUGCAAACCUUUUCUUUGUUGUUGUUAUGUUGAAUUAAACUACAUGCUUCAAGUACUUUACUUCUAGUUUAUUCUUCACGACACUUAGGUUUCAUUUGUCUAGCUCAAUUAUUCUCUGUGAUUGAGAUAGAUGAAUCUUGAAAUCAUGACUCACCUCAUACAUCAAAAUUACAUACAACUAGAGCUUGGUGCUCUUGAGAGGAUUUGCUGCUACGAGAUAAAGAAAAGGUGCUUGUUGAAAGGUUGAUUGAAGCUGCCUAUAGGUGAUAGAUUGAGCUAAGUCUUCUUUCAUUUUUCUUGUAUUUCUUAAUGAGUGGAUUGGAUCUCUCCUGAUUUGGUGCUCCCAGUUUUUCACCUACUUGGGUUUUCUGGGUCAACAACUCCUGUGUGUCGUUUACUUUCAGCUGUUAAUUGUCUUCCCUUAUUAAUCACAUAAUUGUUUGUAUGUGUAUGUGUACGACUUAACAGAACUUUUUAAAAUUGGUAGGUCUUUGACCGGUAGCCUACUUCACCCCCCUUUGUAGGCUCUUAGAGCUUAGGGUUUGGUUUUACACGUUCCUUAUUUAUUGUAAAAUUAAUGAGACUAACUAUUUAUAACAAAAGCCAUAAUUUCACUCAUAAUAAGCAUCAAUAUACAUUACAGAUGCGAAGUAUUUUCCUGUCAUCUUCAUAGUGGAUGUGAAGUCAAAGGAAAUAAGAAAAUGGUCAAAAGGAAACACCGACAAACCACAAAAUGAAAAAGAAAAAAGAAGCAUCAAUACACUUUCGUUGCAACAUUGGUGUUUACCAAGUAGUUGGGGUGUGGAAAAAAAAGAAGACAAAAGGUCGAUUGUUGAUGAAGUUGACUGAAAUAGAUCAGGAUUUUCAAAAUUAACCUCCAUAAUUGUUAGAAGACAAAAUUUUGUUAUUGGCGAGUCAAUUAAUUCAUAAAAUUGAGCUUUCACAUUGGUGAAAAGUUGAAGGUUUUUCAUCUUUGAGAAGCUGUCAUCACUCAAGCAUAUGUCAUCUGGUGUCGGAAACUUUGCUAUGAUGCCUUUAAUAUUGUUUGUUUCCUAUUAUUAAAAAAAAAAAGAAGUUGUUUUAACAUACAAAGCUUUAUAGCAAAUAAAAAUGCAAGUGUACACACACACAGAGACUUACUGUUCCUUCUGUUAGAACACGAUAAACAUUCUCGUGAAAUCACAAUCUGCUACGUUCACUAGGCUCAUUUGGCGACUCUUGAUAAACUAUUCUUCUACCCAAUUCUUCAAGCAAGUCAUGCAUCCCAAUUGUGCCUUGUUCAAUAUUUAUGAGGGCCUUGUCUACGAGUACUUUAAUAGCAUACUUAGGCUUGAGGUCACAACCUUCCAGGAUCGGUAUCAUAUGGUUCACCUUUCUACCGUUAAAGAAACAUGCUAUGUCAAGGAAAACUUCUUGCACUGAAUAUUCCAAUGCAUCAUAGCUUAUUUUGAGAGUUUUUUUAAUGUCCGAGUGCAGAUUCCCAUCCAAUGCAUCAUGCCACUCAUCUAUACUUCUACCACAUAGAUGAGAACCUAAAACCUUGAGAGCUAAAGGAAGACCUUGAGCAUGCUUCAGCACACAUUCUGCAAGUUCCACAUAAUCAUCAUCCAAAUUUCUAUUUCUUGUAAAACCAUUCCAACUAAAGAAGAGAUCAAGAGAUUCAUGAUAAUUUAAUUUCUUUGCCUCGUAGAUUAUACUAACUCAAUGAGAAGUUAGCAAAUGCUUAUCUCUUGUCGUUAUGAUAAUUCUACUGCCCAAACCAAACCAAUCACAACCUCCAACUAAGUUGUUUAAUUGGUCCAAAUGAUCCACAUCAUCUACAAUUACAAGGACCUUUUUACCACUCAACCUUUCCUUUAUCACACUGAUUCCUUUAUCGGCACUGGUAACCUUUAUUUCCUUUCCCCUUGGAAUCUCAUAAAGAAGAAGAUUUUGUAGGUCGACUAGGCCUCCAUAUGGUAUUGAUCUUUCUCUUACAUUUUCCAGAAAACAACUCCUUUCAAACACUUGGGCCAGUGAGUUAUAAACAGCUUUAGCAACAGUUGUCUUUCCUAUUCCACCAGUCCCCCAUAUUCCUACCAUGCAAACGUCAUUUCCGUAAACAUCUAAAACUUUAUGAAGAUCUCGUACACUAGCCUCUAUUCCAACUUGGUAUUUUGCCACAUUGAUAUGGAUAUCAUUUAAUACUUGUAAGGAAAUCUCGUUGACAAUGUUCUGAAUAAAUUCAGUUUCACGGCUGCCAAUUUGAAGCACAAACAACAUUUAAAUAAAAUGGGAUUUUUCUAUAUAUAUUUUAAAGAAGUGCUCGACUCAAUACUAGUGUCAAUUAUGUCGUGAAUCUAUAUAUAUAAAGCAAAAAGCAGAGAAUGGUGAAACAUUCAAAAUACCAUAAAUGUCAUUGAUUAAUGCAAACAUUAAGAAUUGAAAUUAUUAAUUAAAUGAGGAUAAUAUGGUAAAUUCACACUUUUUCAUAUUAAAAAUAAAUUAAAAUUAAAAGAAAAAAAAUUAGAAAACACGUGACCAAGCUAUGAUGUUAGGGAAAGCGUGUGAUGGAAUGGACACUAGGAUAACAAUAGAAGAGAUUGGUUUUCGUAACAGAGUGAUUUUAUUAGAAAGGAGAGAAGUACACUGCUUGGUAGCUAUUAUAGAUAUUUGAUACUAUUAUCUUCAAUAUUUGAUAGCUAUUAUAGCAUUUUCGGAUCCUAAAUUACUCUAGAAAUUUCUACCAAAUGUCCAUCAUAUUUUAACAGUUACAAUAACAGAUUCUGCAACCCUGGGAGAAAUAAUGUAGCUAUUGGUUGGCUAAUUAGCCUUUCAGUGAUGUAACUAUUUGCUGCAAUUUAUAUUACUGUUGUAUUGAUUCAAUUAUAUUUAUAUAAAAUAUAUUCGUUGGUUUUUAUUAUUUUGUUAUUUUGGUUUUAUACUGAUUGUUUUACAACAACUAGUACAUCAGUCGUUAAACACCUUGCAAUUACAUAAAAAUUUGAAUGCAAACCCUUUGUGUCUUGAAACAAUUCUGCACUAAAUUUUUUGAAAAAUAAUGUUGAUUCCUUUAUCGACAAAAUGACUAAUUCACAAAAUUUAGGUAAAUUUUAAACAAAAGUUGAUUAAAAAAGACAAGAGAAAUGCCAUCAUUUUAAUCCCCACUAGAUACACGCACAUAGUGGAUGUGAAGUAGUUUCCUGCCAUCUUCAUAGUGGAUGUGAAGUCAAAGGGAAUAAGAAAAUUGUCAAAAGGAAACACCGACAAACCACAAAAAGAAAAAGACAAAAGAAGCAUCAAUACACUGUCAUUGCAACAUGGGUGUUUACCAAGUAGUUGGGGGUGUGGAGAAAAAAAACAAAAACAAAAGGUCGAUUGAUGAUGAAAGAUAACUAAAAUAGAUCAGGAUUGUAAAAAAUAACCUCCAUAAUUGUUACAAGACAAAAUUUUGUUAUUGGCGAGUUAGUUAAUUCACAACGCGUCAUGCUAACUAUUAGAUAGAAAAGUAUUCAUACGUGAGUUUAAUAUAUUAUCGUCUUUCUCAAUAAGAAAUGUGAAACAUUCAAAAUACCAAAAAAUAUCCUUGGUUAAUGCAAACAUUAAGAAUUGAAAUUAUUAAUUAAAUAAGAAUAAUAUGGUAAAUUCAUACUUUUUUAUAUUAAAAAAAUUAAAAUGAAAAGAAAAAUCAGAUAAUGAAUCUUAUUUUUAUGAGACACAACUACUCAUCAUCUUUUUAAUUCUAAAAUAAUUUUUUUUUCUUCAAAAAGCCUCUCACAAGCGCAAAAGCUCGUGCGGAGAUGCUAGUUAUAAAUAAAUAAAAACUAGUGUAUUUUGUUUUUGUUUGUUUGUUAAAAAAUAAUAUAUGGUUUAAUGGGUUGUCCUGUUAAGGGAAAGCUUAGAGGCAAUAAUUUAAACUUUUGGAAAAACAAUAAUCCCAAAUGUACGAACCAUUCAUCCGCUAAUAGCUUGCGAAAAUAUAAUUAAAAUGGGAAAACAAAAAACAAAUACACUAGUAAUAAGUUUAUGUAUCCACUAAAACUUAAUUACAUGGAGGCAAUCCAAUGGAUCACUAAUGAUUUUUUCAUCAAAACAACCUAGUUAUAUAUAAUUACCGAAAAAACUAAUGACUCAUUUUUCAUGGCCAGAGAAGCGAGCAAAGGUCCUUCAACAAAUAAAACAUGUGUACAAGGUGUCACCAAGGCACAAAACGGUCCAUAAGCAAACGAACUUUGGCAUCUGAAAGCGUAGAGGAAUCCAAGUCCCUCUGAAUCUGAGCCAUUCUGCUGCUCUCUAUUCUUGCUUCUUUGAACACUACUUGUUCUUUAACCUCAUCAUCACCUUCUCCUUGUUUGGCCUUCGAUGAAAACACCAUUCGCUUCUUAGCCCCCACCUUGUCUUUCAGCUUUGCCAACUCGCUCAUCCAAACCUCCACCACUGCAGACAUGCUUGAACUUGAAAACUUGAAAUUCUGGCUUGGUCUUGACUGUUGAGUUUGAUCAAGGAUGAUGAGGAGGGCUGGCUAUUAUGGUUGUUGGGUUAUAUAGAAGAGAGAGAGAGAGAAAGAGAAAGAGGGCCUUGCCCUUCAUGUGGUUUGGAUUGGAUGAAAAACCAGUGUGUCACAGACAGCCGCUGGUUAUAGGCUCGCACACAGGAAUAUUCCUUGGGAAGAGAGAGAGAGAGAGAGAGAGAGAGACUAGAAAGUGGGGUAUGAGUUUUGUUGAGUGAGUGAAAAGCUUCCCCGUGGGUGGGCGCACGGAACUCUCUUCUUUAGAUUAAUCUUGUGGGCGACUUAGCAUAUUACUAUUCAUAAUAAUAUUCCAUUGCAUCUUAGUUUUCCUUGUGUCUUAUUCCAACAUUGCAAUUCUCUUUCUCCGAAAUACCCAUUCACCUCUUCAUCAUCAGUAAAAGUAGCCAUCUUCAUUAUCUUCACAGCUGAAGUAGUCAUGUUCCGAGUCUUGCUCAUCUUCACAUAGAUCAAUACAAUUAUCUCCAUCAAACCUCUCAUUAGCAUCUUCCAAGUCAUCGGAUUCAGACUCACCAUCUUCCGUAAAUAUAGACAAGUCUUCAUCAUCCUGUGUCAUUACCAGGUGGACCCCGAAGCUUUUUAAACACAGCGAAUCUAGUGUCAAAUUCAGAAAAUUAACUCGACACGCAAAAGGCGACCGCGGCCAGGUAAUCUGAUCAUCCCGGUAAAACAUUUCGCUGAAUCGAAUAUAGCACAGCCACACAUGACCUGACCCUAUACCAUGACCUGACCCGUUCUUUCUGAAAUCGGACGCAGUAAAAUAAGGUUCCACUCCUGGUUGAUUCACGGAAAUUUUUGUUACAAAACCAUUGUAACGUGGUCUUUUGUUUUGCGGGUUUUCACCAGCAGCGUAUAGAGCCAAUCCUUGGUUCUGGCAUUUGAAGUUUGGAGGGAUUUCAAUCAAAAAUUCACAUGCUUCAUCACGCUCCUUCACAUACUUAUGACAGCUGAACAACGUCGAGAGAGCUUCAAAACUUGCUGGAAAUACAACCUGAAAUCCAUGUUUCUGCGAAGACAGAAGGUGAUCAAAGAAGAUAGUGAUCUGCUCCUUUGCUAAAAUGUUUUGCUUCUUUCUGAGGUCACAAGCCAGAUUGCCGCAGAGUCUGUGGCAAUUACACAAGUCCACCAACUUAAUCAUUUGUGAGUCUUCUUUACCCUUCAGAAUGUUGGACAAUGAUGAAAACCUUUCCAAUGAUACGCAAUCACUUGCAUCUAACUUUACUAUUUUUGGUGGAAGUUCCGGAAUAUCUCUAAGCCUCUUGCAGCCAUGCAAGUAAAGAUACCGCAUAUUGACAAAUUUCGUAAUGCAUUUGGGAAUACUUACAAGGAAAUCACAUAGUGUUAGAUCAAGUUCGCUCAAUGUAGACACAUAAUCUUCAGACUUCACUUUAUUUGGAAAUGUAACAAGCUUUCGACUUCUUCGGAGACAAAUGCGGUUUAAAUGUUCCAACUCAUAAAUGCUGGGUGGCAGAUUCGUAAGAUUUUCACAACUGCUUAGGUGUAAUAACUCAAGAUUGAUGAGAUAUACAAUUGACGCUGGCAAUUCUUUGAUGCCACUACCAUGUAGAAACAUGUAACGUAAGGAAUCCAUCUUUCCCCCAAUAUCAGGGAAAGUCUCCAGUCUUCUGCAAAAUUGAAGAUUGAGAACUUCUAGAGAUUUUGACUUGAUUAUUGGAAAUAGUGUGAGGUUAUGGCAACACAUAAGACUCAAGUCCACAAGCUUAUCAUGAAAUCCAACAGAAGGAUGAACCUCAACUAAACUUCUGCAGUAGUCUAGAUUCAAGGACUGUAAGUUUGGAAUUCCAGAGAUAUUUGGGGUUUUUGUUAGGAGUUCACAGCUCCUAAAAUUCAUGGACGUCAAAUUUUGCAAACGCUAUAUAAGACAAAAAUAGAAAAGAAAAAGAAGGAUCAAACGAUAAGGCAUAAACAAGUUUAAGCCAUAACUCCAGAAACUUAAUAAACUUUUGAAAAUACGAAGGGAUGAAAAUAAUUUAAAUUACCUUGAAUCCCUCCCCAAGUUGUGACAAGCGGCUACAAGGCAUAUAAAGUUCAACAAGUUUCCUUGGAUUGAAAGUAGAUGGUAAAGUUUGUAGAGGACAACCAGGCCAAUGAAGAAACCUCAACUCAUUAGAUAGAUAAUCCACGUGAUCGCCAUAAAAUCGUGCAUUCACAUUGAUGAAAAGUCGAAGGUUUUUCAUCUUUGAGAAGCUGUCAUCACUCAAGCAUAUGUCAUCUGGUGUCGGAAACUUUGCUAUGAUGCCUUUAAUAUUGUUUGUUCCCUAUUAUUAUAAUUUUUUAAAAAGUAGUGUUAACAUACAAAUUUCAAUAGCAAAUAAAAAUGCAAGUGUACACACACACACACUUACUGUUCCUUCUGUUAGAACACGCACUACUACAAAAAAGCAAAAAGACGACGGUAAAUCACCGUCGUGUAUUCGGUUUUUCAAUGGUCGUGGAAUCCACCGUCAUCUUUUCCCUCAUAAACCACGACGCUAAAUCACCGUCGUUGUUAAAAUAUACAACGUCAUCAACAAAUACAAAACGACGUCUUUGUACUGCAAAAAGAUCUAAAAAAGCAGUCGAGGAUGAGAAUAGACGACCAACUCUCUAAAAAAACCGUCGUUAAAAAGGAAAAAUAUGACACAUAUUAAGAUAACAAGGCCGCAAGAUAGACAUACAAUGACGAAAAUAAAAAUACCACGCCGUUAAAUAUCAUUUUCACGACAAUAAAAAAUUUGACGUCUUUAAAUACAUUAGAAGACGACGUUAUUGAUACCUACUACGUCGCAUAUAUAAAAACAGCCGUCGUAAAAUUAAUUUUCCACUUCGAUUUUUCGAUAAAAGAUGACGUGGAAAUAGUUGUCAGUGUCAUUAUUUACGACGUAUGUAUUUAUAGAGUAGACGUUGAAAAACGAAACAACGUCAGUUACAAAUAUAUGAGAGUCGUAUUACAAAAUUUAUACGUCAUAUUUUCAGAAACAAACAACGACGAUAAAUAUUCAACGUUGUUAAAUAAACCAACGUCGGAAAACAAUAAAAACAGACGUGUUUAGUCUGCUAAAGUUCUAGAAAAUAGUCGAGGAUGAGAAUAGACGACCAACUCAAACAAAUCACCGUCGUUAAAAAGGAAAAAUAUGACACAUGUUAAAAGAACAAGGCCGCAAGAUAUACAUACAACGACGAAAACUAAAAUACUACGCUGUUAAAUAUAAUUUACACGACAAGAAAAAAUAUGACGUCUUUAAAUACAUGAGAAGACGACGUUAUUGAAAUAUACUACAUCUCUUAUUUACAAACAACCGUCGUGAAAUAAAUUUUCCACUUCGAUUUUUCUAAAAAAGAUGACGUGGAAAUAGUUGUCAGUGUCAUUAUUUACGACGUAUGUAUUUAUACAGUUGACGUUGAAAUGCGAAACAACGUCGGUGGCAUUUAUAUAGUCGACGUUGUAUUUAUAUCUAUCAUCAUUACUCACGACGCACUUAAUAAUAUAGACGACGUUGAACUUCUAAACAACGUCGGUUCCAAAUAAAUGAGAGCCGUAUUACAGAACAUAUAGACGGCGUUGAUUAUGAUGAGAGCCGUAUUACAAAUAACGUCGUUUAAUUGUUAUUAGACGGCGGUUAUAAUGAAUUUCCGUCGGAAUUCAUUUCGUUCCUCUUCGUUUAUAAAAGAACUUGCGACGUGGAAAAUGUAUGAUGACGUCGUAUUUUUUAACGUUCAGAUUAUAUAUCUCGUUUUUUAGACGUCGGUAUUAUGGGAUUGGAGUCGUGUUAUUUUGAAUUACAUGGCGGUUCUUAAUCCUUCCCCGACGUGAUAUCCUGAAUAAUUGCUUCACAAUAGCGUCGUGGUUCUUCAUUGUUACGUUGCUUUAAGACGUCGGUAAAUAUGCUGAAUAACUGGUUCACAAUAACGUCGUGUUUUAUUUGAACGUAGAAAGUGAAGAAAUCACAUUACAAUAUAUUACAAAAUUAAUGUCAUACACUGCCAAUUACAUAAGCAUCAUUCAAUCCAUAUAUCUUCACACCCAUCUCGAAUAUUUUGACCGCCUAACUCACCCACCAGUUCAUCAAAUGUGUCAACAUUUGGCAUCCCUCUAGUAAAUGGCUCACACUCAAUUAUCACAUCACCUAAGACUUCAUCACCAAUAACAUCAUUAUAUUCUCUAUUAGGCAUUGAUAACACUACCGACCAACUAUGAUGCAUCGGGUCGUCAACAAAAAAUAUUUGUUUGACUUGAGAAGCCAAAACAAAUUGGUCAUUCCUAUGUCCAAUUUUACUCAAAUCUACAAGGGUAAAUCCAAGUUCGUCGACUACAAGACCAGAACUAUCUAUCCAAUCACACCUAAAGACUGGGAUUGUAAACUUUUGGUAGUCAAGGUCCCAAAUUUCUUGAAUGACACCAUAGAAACCCAUAUUUGAGAGAAUUGGGUUUUUAUCCUUGGCACUAGCAACUUGCAUGGUAUGUGCAAGUAAAUAAACUCCACUAUUUUGAGUUGUCCGCACAUCAUCUUGUGCCUUGAUAUUGAAUUUAAUACCUUUAAUAAGAUAGCUCCUAUAUAAUGGCACUGACAUGUUUGGACCAGCUGCUAGCCACCUUAAAUUUUCUGAUACGCCGUGAUUGUCUUCCUCAAGUUCACUUUGAACCUGCAAAUUAAUCAUAUCUUAAUUCAAUCUAACAUAUAAAUAAGAAGAAAAUUAAAAGAGAAAUAUGUUAUUCAACAACAUAUACCUUGAAGCGUAGCCAUUGAAUGAAAGUGCUAUUGUGCUUAUCCUGCAGCCACUUUGUUCUCUUUCUAAAUUUUGGAUAAGCAAUCUUGAUGUGGAUCAUAUGUUGCCUACAUGACACGAAAAAUUCAAGCAUUACGGUCCCAAAUAUAGAAGAUAAACAUAAGAAAUAAUUUAAAAUGGAAACUUAAAGAAUAAAGCUCAUACGUACUCGAUAUAAGGUAGGACUUCCUCCGUAUUCUCCAAGACAUAUAGAUGUGCUUGAUUCAAUAGGUCCUGAUCAACUACGCUCACUGUGCAACCUGAUAAUGGCUUUGAAAGUCCCAUCUUUUGGCUUGAAGGCACUCCAACUGUACUAACAUCAGAUAAAUGCUGAGUACAAAACUCUACCGCUUCUUCAGCUAUAUACCGCUCAGCAAUGCAACCUUCGGGACGAGUACGAUUCUGAACAUACCCCUUCAGCACUUUCAUAUAUCUUUCAAACGGAUACAUCCACCUAAAAUAUACUGGCCCACAUAGACGAACUUCUCUGACAAGAUGUACUACUAGAUGAACCAUGAUAUCAAAGAAUGAAGGGGGAAAGUACUUCUCAAGCAAACACAGAGUAACUACUACAUCUUCUUCCAACUUAUCUAGCUUGGAAACAUCAACAGUCUUUGCACAUAUAGCAUUGAAGAAGAAGCACAAACGAGUUAUUGCAUACCUUGCAGGCUUCUCCAAAACAGAACGAAUUGCCACAGGGAGCAAUUGUUGCAUUAAGGUAUGACAAUCAUGUGAUUUAAGGCCAAGAAGUCUUGAAUCUUGUAAAGAUACAAGAUUUUUAAUAUUUGAAGAAUAACCUUCAGGGACCUUCAUACCAUAGAAAGAAUUGCAAACCUCUCUCUUCUCUGCUCUUGACAAAUUCCAAGGCCCAGGAGGCAAACGAGUACGUCUUUCUCCAUACUCGGGUUGCAAAUCAGUUUUGACCCCCAUGUUCAAUAAAUCUAAUCGAGCAGCAAUCCCAUCUUUAUUUUUUCCAGGGAUCUCCAGCAAUGUACCAAUGAUACUAUCGCAAACAUUCUUCUCAAUGUGCAUAACAUCUAGGGCAUGCCUCACAGGAAGGUAUUUCCAAUACUCGAGAUCAAAGAAUAUUGAUUUCUUCUUCCAACAAACUCUGUCACCAUUUUCAACCAUAUGCAGCACUUCUUCUCCGGUUAAUGGCUCGGGAGGUAUGCCAUAUUCAGGUUUCCCAUUAAAAGCUGCACGUUGCCUCCUAUAUGGAUGAUUGAUUGGUAACCAUUUUCUAUGCCCAAUGUAACAAAUUUUGUGGCCAUUUUUCAACCUGUGACUAGGUGUAUCAUCGCCGCAUAUUGGACAAGCUUUAUAUCCUUUAACAACACAACCAGAUAAGUUUCCAUAGGCGGGGAAAUCAUUAAUUGUCCACAUUAAUGCAGCUCUGAGUGUAAAGUAUUCUCCAUUAUGUGCAUCAUACACUCCUCUAAUCCCAACCCACAAGGAUUUUAAAUCAUCAAUCAAAGGCUCCAAGUAGACGUCUAUAUCAUUUCCGGGUUGUUUAGGACCGGAAAUCAAUAAGGUUAACAUCAUGAACUUUCGUUUCAUGCACAGCCAUGGAGGGAGAUUAUAUGUAACUAAGAUAACCGGCCAACAACUAUAUCUGCUACUUAGAGAACUGUGGGGGAUUGAAUCCAUCAGAUGAAAGAGCCAAUCUCAAGUUUCUCGGCUCAUUACCAAACUCAGGCCAUUUAUCAUCAAGAAGUUUCCAAGACGGGGAAUCCGCCGGAUGAGACAUCUGACCGUCAAUUGAUUUUCUAGCAGCAUGCCACCAAGUCAAACUCUUAGCUGUCUCAUGUGAUUGAAACAUCCUUUUAAACCUUGGAAUUGGGGGAAAAUACCACACCACCUUCGCUGGCACACCCUCUUUCAAGAUUGAAUCUUUGCCUUCCUUCCACCUUGAGAUACCACAAGUAGGACAAUUAGUUGAAUCCUCAUACUCCUUCCUAUACAAGAUGCAAUCAUUGGGGCAUGCGUGCAUUUUCUCAUAACUCAGCCCCAAUGCACACAAAGUCUUUUUAGCCUCAUACAUGGAGGUUGGUAUUGUAUUUCCUUCUGGAAGCAAAUCGCCUUGAAGUAUCAAUAAUUCUGUAAAACAGACAUCACUCAUCCCAUGUUUUGCCUUCAAAUUAUACAACUUCACUAAUGCCGAUAACUUCGUGUACUUUCUACAACCAGGGUACACUGGUUGAUCUCCAUCCCCAAUCACAUUGGCAAACUCAUACGGAUCCGAACCAAAAUCACCAAAAUCAUUAUCAUCCAUAUCAAUUUCUUCAGACACAAAACUGUACCUACUAUGGCCAUCAUCUUCUUCAACAUUUCUGCUAGCAUUAGUAGUUGCUUCCCAAGGUUCUCCGUGAAAUGUCCAAUUCUUAUAGCUUUGGUCAAUUCCAUUAAAGUAUAAGUGAUCCCUUAUAAUUCCAACCCCAAACAACUUCAAAUUAACACAUUUAACACAUGGACAACGGAUAUGUGUUGUAGUUAGAAGAUUUUCUACAGCAAAGUUCAAAAAUGCUUCCACCCCAACUCAUAUGCCUUCGAUCUUCUAUCCGAGUGCAUCCAUGACUUAUCCAUCUCCGACACUAUAACCUAUUAUCUAUAAUAAAGUGAAAAUACAGGCAAUGACCAUCACUAUAGCAGAUUAUACAAUGAUCUAAUCGCAAGUAAUACACAACAGAGACGACGGGUUUUAAACAAAAACAGACGUAUUUGGAAUAUAUAGACGACGGAUUUUCAACAGACGUCGUCUAUUAUAAGUAAUACAAACGACGGUUUAUGAAAAAACUAUCGUGUAUAAGUAAUACAACGACGGUAGUUUAAAAAAACCGUCGUGUAAUCGUCGUCGUAAGCCUUAAAAUUCGUCGUGUCUCAGUUUAUUUUCAAGAACACAAAACCCAUUAAGAACACAACAUAUAUAUGAAACCAAGCAAGAAACCAACAUAUACAUGAAACCAAGCAUGAAAACAAUAAAUCCAUUCCCAAUUCAACAUAACAUAGGGUGAUUAAAAGAUACGACAAAAUUAAAUCCAUUCCCAAUUCAACAUAACAGAUAAUGUAAUCCAUGAACCCAUUAAACAGAAAAUCCAUGAACCCAUACCUAUAAGCACAUUAUUAACAGAUCGCAAAGCAUACACAUAAAACCCUUUAACAAAACAACCUAAUAUAACUCGAAUCGUUACUAGAAUCAUCACUCGAAUCUCCAUCUUCAUUAUCAGUUUCUUCCUUCGUAGGUACUAUUUGCUCCCCAUCAUUGGUGCACUUUGCACCUUCUCCAGAGCGGAAAAUGACAAGAUCAAAUAAAGGUGUACUUUUGCUGGAAAUCAACACAAAAAGACACAGAUCAUCAACUUCCAAAUGAUUGUCACGCACAACGUCCAUCCAACCACGCCUGAAUUGUAUAAGUUUUACAAUGUUGGUUUGAGCAAAGGAAGGCCCAGAUCAGGCGNNNNNNNNNNNNNNNNNNNNNNNNNNNNNNNNNNNNNNNNNNNNNNNNNNNNNNNNNNNNNNNNNNNNNNNNNNNNNNNNNNNNNNNNNNNNNNNNNNNNAGCAUGAAACAAUAAAUCCAUUCCCAAUUCAACAUACAUAGGGUGAUUAAUAGAUACGACAAAAUUAAAUCCAUUCCUGGAUGGACGUUGUGCGUGACAAUCAUUUGGAAGUUGGUGAUCUGUGUCUUUUUGUGUUGAUUUCCAGCAAAAGUACACCUUUAUUUGAUCUUGUCAUGAACCCCUUUAACAAAACAACCUAAUAUCAUUCAAUGAAUUUACAAGGGGAAGAUAGGGUUUGUACUUACAGGUUGGACGAGCUCACAGAUUCGACGGAGCCUGGAGAGUGCAACUUUUAAUUAGAGCAGAAGUGAGAGAGCGAAAUGUUAUGUCGCGCGAAAUCUGAAAAUUUUAGGUUUCAGGGUUCGAAGUAUAAGAAUAAGAGCCAAAUCUAAAAAAAUUUAGGUCGCGCGAAAAUUUUUAGAGCUCGCGCGUUUUAAAACGUCGAAAGAAAAACCAAGGCGAAAGUUCUACAAGUACCGACGUAAAUUUAAUAUUCCACGACGGAAACUUCAUUUUUCGAAUUAAGAACGUAAGGCCGUUCAUUUUGAAGCUUCAUUUUUCGGAUUAAUUUUAAAUUUAUUUUGAAUUUUUUAUAUAACGACGACUGAAAAACCACGUCGGUGUUAAGAAAUUAAAGACGUUGUAAAUCAUAUAAACCGACUUACAUAUUAAAAUGACGUCGUUUAAAGCGUAAACCAUGUCGUAUGUUUUUCUGUACGACGUAAAAUAUGUAUUCCACGACGCAACCACCGUCGUUAAAAAUUAAUACCCUAAACCCAUAAAACUAAAUUAUACAAUUUAAAAAAUUAAGUUUAUAAAAGGUUUUAUGGUUUUAAAGCCUAACAUAUACCCUAGACUACCCAAAAAUUAUACUUUAAAAAUAAACCCCAAUAAAUAACAACCCUAAUCUCUAAACCCUAGACUCUAAACCCUAAACCAUAAAACUAGAAGUGAUUUUAUGACUCAUCAAAACAAUUUUGUUUUGGAUGGUCAUUUUAAAUUUUUGUUAUUCAAAAUGAAUUUUUUCAAGGUUUAUGUGGAAGAAAAUAUAUCAAUGACUUCAUAGGAGUGGACUUUUCAAUUUUCUGAUUUAUUUUAAAUUUAUUUUGAAUAUUUUGAUAUAAAAAUAAUAAAAUAUUCUUACCACAACAACAAACCACGUCGGUGUUAAUAAAUUGUAGACGUUGUAAAUUGUAAUAAACUACUAAGUCGUUAAAAUGAGUCGUUAAAAUGAGAAACCAUGGCAGCUAUUUAACUAUACGACGUAAAAUAUAUAUUCCACGACUUAACCGCUGUCGUUACAUAAACGAUAAACGACUAUUAGGGUUGUAAACCAUAAACGACUCAAUUGUUCAAAGAACGUCGUCUAACUAUAUUUUUACGUCGUAUUUGUUUAAAACACGAAACAACAAAAUACGACGGUUUUUGACUUUAUUAGGUCGUUGGAAAAGUAUUACACGUCGGUUAAGCAAUUUGUAUGUUUGUUUUUUUUUUAAUUUAAGAAAACCUCAACAAAUUUUUACAUUACAUAUUAUAGAGAAAAUUUGUACAUUAUACAUAAAUAUCAAGUGUUCAAUAAUUGCCCUGUUUAAUAAUUUGGAAAACAAACUCUGCCCAUUCAUUCCGGACUUCAUCAAUGGCUUCUUGGGGGUAUGAAGCUUCCUGGUUUCCCUUGGCAUACUGCAUAAACAAUGACUAUUAGGGUUUAUAAAUAAAAAGAAAUUCAAUCACAGACAACGAUAUUUUUCAUAACCGACGUAGUAUAUCCAUUCAACGACGUUAAUUUUACAUGACCGUCGUUGAUAAUACAAAAAACGACGUGAAAUGUAUGAAGGUAAUUUCUUCUUACCUUAUUCUCAAACCCCAAGGAAGGAUCCAUGAUGAUGUCCCUCAUGAAGCGCAUCACAUAAUACCCGCAUUCGACAUUGCUGGGUUGCUUUGGUGUGCCUGAGAGAGUUUUCCAAAUUACAUUUUUACGUCCUGCUCGGCCUAUGUGGGUAUUAUAUAUUUUUAAAGCACUGUUCACGAUGUUUUUCGCCUCUUCGUCGACCACACGAUGACCUGGCAGAGGAUCCAGAAAAUAGACGGUCUCCUUCUUUGCUCUUACAAUCAGCAAGAUCCAAUGACGGCUGCACAAAAUUAAUAUAAAAACGACGGUUAUUUACAAAAACGACGUAUUAUAGUAUUUCACACGACGAAAUAAAGUAGAUAACGACGACAUUAUAUAUUUAUCACGACGAUAAAUAAAUACCGACGUGGUUAGUAGUUUCAAACGACUAAAUAAAAUAAAACACCGACGUGGUUAGUUUAUAUGCUGUCAUUUAUUGAAAAUCAUAAAAACAAAAUCCUAAGGAGACUAACCCUGGAUUGUAAGGCAUCAUGAAAAUCUGUUCACCGUCUGUCUUCUGAAGUCGAGCUGCUACCAGUCGUGAUCUUUCAGUUAUUGUGCCAGAGUUGGCACUAACUGUAGCAGGGUCGAUAAAGCCAACCAUGCUGCACAUAUUGGCUUGUUUCAAAACAUCGUGUAAGUACCUAAAUACAUAAAAUAAUAUAAACAAGUCAGCACAAACAAACACGACGGUUAUGUAUAAAAAAACGACGUAUUAUAAUAUUUCACACGACGUACUGAAAUAGAUGAGGACGUUAUAAUAUAUUUAUCACGACGGUAGUUAGUUAAGACGACGUGGUUAGUUAGUUAAGACGACGCAAUAUAUAAACCAACGAGGUAUUAUUUUAGAAGUACAAACCUCAUAUAUACAGCCAAUACAGUAGCUCCAAUUUCUUCCAUGCCUGCAAAUUGUGUAAUAUCUUCAGGCAGGAGGAAGGUAUCGCGCUCACCACCAAACACCUCAUUAUCAAUUGUAAAUUAGAGUGUCUUAUCCUCAGGCAGGAGUGUCGUUUCCACAAAACGACAAAGGGUUUUUAAAGAAGAUGGCGCCUCCAUAUUUGAAUAAGCACCAACUUCAAUAACCUGUUUAAAGAAAUAAAAAAAAUGACGUGGUAAUUCAAUAAAGACGACGGUUUAAGGAAUAAAACGUCGUCUUAAAAGUAUUUAAACGACGGUGAAAAAACUGUCGUGGUAAUUCAAUAAAGACGACGGUUUUAUGAAUAAAGCAUCGUCUGAAACCAUUUAAACGACGGUGCAAAAACCGUCGUUUAAAUAUUUUAUUACGUCUUAAAAAAAGUCCGCCGUCUAAGUUUUAAACAAACGACGGAUUAAAUAAAAAUAUCGACGUCUGAAAUUUUGAAAAACAAAUAAAAAAGGCAAAGUUAUGUGAACAUACCUUGUCGUCAUGCUUUUCUUCAUCUUCUUUCUCCUUUUCUUCUUCCUUCUCUUCAUCUCUUUUUUCUUCUUCCUUCUCUUCAUCUGGCUGAUGUUUCCCCAUUUUGGCAGUAUCAUCCUCCAAAUGUAGGGAUCUCACAUCACCUCCAGAGCAGCUAGCUUUGUCAGACAUUGGAUUUUUGGGGCUUUGGCUAAUUCUUGGUUUAAGCAUGCUUGGAUCAAAAUUGGGAAUUAAUUGGGAAAGCUGACUCAGGAAAUGCUCCCUCUCAGCCUCUACCAAUUGUUUUGUCCUAGCCUCCAUCCUUAAGGCCUCUUCCCUUGCCUUAGCCUCCAUCUUUUUAGUCUCUUCUUGAAGGAGAACUCUUAAACUGUCCUUCAAACGGUCGUCAAAGCUCACCCUCUGUGGUUUAGGCAAAUUGAAAUAUUGCCUUGGGGGAAACACCAGCACCAACUCCCUUCACUCUGCCAGGAUGCUCGGGGCCCAAAGCCAUGGUCAGCACAUCAUUGCUGCCAUCUACUCUGACUUUGCCUUCCGAGACUUGUUUCUGAAAUUCAUCCUAAAAAAAGAUAAACAAAAAAACACACGACGGUUAUUUAUGUACAAACGACGUAUUAUAUAAUUUCACACGACGCAAUAACGUAUAAACCGACGUUAUUAUAACUUAUCACGACGGUAGUUAUACCGACGUGGUUAUUUAUUUAAAACGACGAAAUGAAUAAACUACCGACGUCUUAUGCUAUAAUUAAAGAAAACAGAGUAGUGAUUCCUAUUUAGACCGUUAACGACGUUUUUAAAAAAGUUUCGACGUGGUAAUAUCAUUCAAACGACGCCAAAAUGAACCACCGACGUCUUAUGCUAUAAUUACAGAAAACAUAGUAGUGAUUCCUAUUUAGACCUUUAACGACGUUUUUAAAAACUUCUCGACGUGGUAAUAUCAUUCACACGACAGAAAAUAUAACAUACGACGUAAUAAGAAUAAUUCACAGUUUAAUAAAAAUUUAAAACAGAGUGAUAGUAGGCUUACAAUUAAUUUUGCUUUCUCUGCCACCUUUGGAUCAGGGAUGUUACCAUGUUUGUCCUGUCUAGCUCUCUUCCAUAAGGUAGAUCGAUCAAUUUCUACCCAGGCAUGGUUUCCUCCAAUUGAUCCUCCAAUCCAGCAUAUCCUUUUCGAGACAAUCGAUGAUUGUACUCGAGUUUCUCCCUAAUCUGUGCAUGUUGAGAAUGCACAGACUCAAAAUCUUUGGAUAGCCUUGAAGCUACAAAGGCAUCCCAUUGUGCUUUCUCUAUGAAUUUAUAUGUUUCAGGGGGUUGGCUUAAUUUCUCCCUGUCAUUGGUGUAUGGAAGGAUAUAAUGCCUCGUUAGUGUAGACUUGAAAUCCUUCCAUUUCUUGGAAGCAGAAGCUAAAACAGAGGUCUUGCCCCCUUGGCCUACGACAAAAGCCAUGUCAACUGCUUCCCAAAUCUGCUCCUUUAUAUCCUUGGAGAUUUGGGACCAUUUCUUGUCCACAAGUGGGAUCCUGGAGCGUGCCAACACACCAAUAUACGACUGCAUCUCAAUAUGUGCUUGGCUAACACCUUUUCCCCUUUUAUUGUACUCAACAAUUGGCCUCAGUUUCUGAAGCUUUCUCUUCACAACACGAGGCAUUGUGCUCAUACCUCGACCAGUCUUUGAAUCAUCAGAGAUUGUUGUCUGGCUGGUUGGUUCUGUCUCAGCAGAUGAUGAAGCAAACUUCAUCUUCUUCGAAGACUUCAUCUCCUUCGAAGACUUGUCUUGAGGAGCUACCAUUCCAAGCUUCUUGGAGCCAGAAUCCUUAGUUUGUUGUUGAGAAACCAUUUUAACAGACAAAACUGCAAGUGAAAAUAUUUCAGGAAAACAUUAAGAACACAAACGACGGUAUUAAAAAAAUACGACGUCUGAUAUGAUUUUAGACGACGCAAUGAAAUAAUCUCAGACGUAAUAAAUGUUUAAAACCAUUAUUUAUAUAACGUCGUGGUAUAUAUGUUCACACGACGUCAAUAGUAAUACACCGUCGUGGUAAACUAUUAUUUAUAUAACGUCGUGGUAUUUAUGUUCAUAAGACGUCAAUAGUAAUACACCGUCGUGGUAUUAACAUUCACACGACGUAAAACAAUAAGAUAUUUUGUCGUCUAUAUUAGAUACCAACCCUAGUUUCUUUUUCUUUAUAUUUUAUCAAAUAAGGGAAAAACAAAAACCAUUGUUCAGAGAAAUCAAACCUGCAAUUAAACAAGCAUAUAAAAAAAGACUAUUAUUUUAAAAACAACUUUGUCAAUUUUCAGACGACGCUAGAACAACUGACGAACCGUCGUGGUCUACCGUCGUCUUAUUUAGUUGAGGUAGUUGUCUUCAAAGUUGGAAACUUUCCCUCUUUGUCUGUAUAUUUUAUCAAACUUGGAAAGAAGUAAAAUGAUUUUGGCCAGAAAAAAGGUAAAAAGAUUUUUCAAACAAAAAACGUAUGAGCAUGCAAAACAGUAACCAAAAUAGUGAAAAUGAAAGCUUACCUUUUGCGUGCAAUGAAAGCAAGAGGAAGAUGAUCGAUGUUUAAGUUCAGAGACGACGAAGAAGACGAGAGGAAGACGAUGAGAAACUCUGACAAUGCUCUGACAAGGAAAAAAGACGAAAAGGUUUCUCUGGGAGAUUGAAAUUUUUAAUCGGGUUUGGAAACAGUGCAUGUGUAAGUCGAAAAGUUGCUUACAUAUAAAACCAUUUCAAAAAAAUAAUACGGCGGUUACAUUUAACUACGUCGUUUUUAACUAAAACGACGCAAUAUUUUUCAUUCGACGUGGAAUCAUUUCAUUUAACGUCGUUAGGUUUAAUAUAACCGACGUGGAUUUUAAUUUUUAAAUUAUGAAUAGAAUUUUUUUUCCCGUGACCUUUCAGUUUAUUUUUCAAUUACAGUGCGUUAUAAAUAGAGUUUUUUUUCCGGAGGAAAUUUAAAACGAAGGAAAUUAAUAUUCUGCAAUAUGUAAAGUUUCUUUUUUGGAUGACAGAUUUAAAUAAAAUAAGAAUAUAAAAACAACAAAUGUGUAAGUCAAGUAGACGAAAAGUUGCUUACAUAUAAAACCAUUUCAAAAAAAUAAUAUGGCGGUUACAUAUAACUACGACGUAUAAAUUACAAAAUACGACGGUACAUUUAACUUCGGACGUGGUAAAUAAAUACGACAGUAGUUUGUAGGUACCGUCGUAGUAAACUCAAAAAUUAAAGUACAUAAGUAAUAACUCGCGUCAUGGUAGAUUAUUUAACACGUCGUCUUUAUUAAUUUACCGACGUGGAUUUCUGUAAUAUACGUCGAUCAUACCGACGUUGAUUUUACAAUUUAAACGGCGGUUUUUUUGUAAGGACCGCCGUUGGUUUUAAAAAUUUAUUCUAUAAAUUUGUCGCUUUCAUUCAUUUUCGGUUUACAUUUAAGGUUCCAAGUUCUUCCUCUCUCAGUCUCUCAUGUCUCAAAGACAAUAAUUUGGAUGUUUUCUCAAAGAGAAAUUGAGCUUACUCGCAUCAAAUAUAUGUCCACAAGAAGAAGCUUGUCAACUAGCCUUCUCACUUCCUUGAUCAAGCCUGAUAGGACACUUAAUGCUUCUGAAUACUCCUUGCUUUCCAUCAAAAGAGAUGCAAGCCUGGCCUCCACUCGCUGUCGAAGGAAAGUUCGCUUCUCAGGGAAAUCUGAAGAUCAGAUGUGCCUGAUCCUCUGCUUGAUUUUCUUGCCUAAGAAGAUCCGUCGGAUUUGUGAUAGCCUCUUCCUUUAUCCGUAGAGCUUCAGAAGAAGAAGAUGGGUUUCAAGAAUGCGAUAAAGAAUAGAAAUGGCUUCAGAUGGCCUCUAAAGCAUGAGCAAUUGAAUCAGUAGUUUCUGGGAGAUAUGAUGAAGACAUUGUCAAUGCUUUGAACUAUACAAGUCCUGCAAAAAGAUAUGUUAAAGAAACUGAAACAACGGCGGUUUUCUGUUCUACCGUCGUCUUUUCUCGUCGUCUAUAUUAAGUUAAGAUGGCGGUAGAUUUAUAAUUACCGACGUAGAUUAUUUUGUUAAACGUCGUUAAGUGUAUUACAACCGACGUGGAUUUUAUUUUUAAAUUAUAAAUAGAGUUUUUUUUCCCGUAUUCUUUCAGUUUUAGUUUUCAAUUCCAAAGCGUGAUAAAUAGAUUUUUCUUUCCCGAGGAAAUUUAAAAUGAGGGAAAUUAAUGUUCUAGAAUUUGUAAACUAACACGACGCAAUAUUUGCAAAUCUGUGUCAUCUGUUAAGAUUAUGAUGUGGAACAGAGUUCCAUCUGGUAAGAUUUCGUAACCCUUGGGAUCUCAGACAAAUCUGAUUAUGUCAGCGGUGUUCUAUAUAAACCGUCGUGGUUAUUUCAAUUCUUGUCAUUAAGUAGAUCUACCGACGUAGGAUAAGAAAAUCAAAGAAAAAAAUUGUUAACAAAAAUUCUUAUUAAGACGACCGUUAAAAUUAAAGGUACGACGUAUAAAAUGAAUAAAUACGACGAUAAAUUUUAUUGUACGAUUUAAAGAUAACGUCGUAGAACUAUACGAGAAUGACGUCGAUAUAUUUAUAUUUUCCGUCGUUGUAAAUUUAUUUAAUACGGCGAUAUUUUGUAUUUUAAAGCCGUGGAUUUGUUUGUAAUUAUACGGCGUCUUAUACGAAAACCUCGUCGUGUUAUUUUAUGAGUAAAAACGGCAGUUUUUAUUGAAAUCGUCGUCUUUACUUUCUACGUCGGUCGAUUCAUAACUUCUGCCGUUCUUUGUUGGCAUUGAUUUUACACUGCGGAAAUCUGUUUCAAAUAGACGUUGGUUGUUUAAUUAUGUACGUCGUUGUUUUUGAACAGCCAUUUGAAACUCCAUUUUUUAGUUGUCUAAGGUUGUAUUACACGACGGUGUUUUUAGAACCGUCGUCUUUUUAUAAACCACGACGGUUUUCACUUAGACCGUCGUUGUUUUCUAGUCGUCUUUUUCACUUUUUGUAGUAGUGACGAUAAACAUCCUCGUGAAACCACAAUCUGCUACGUUCACCAGGCUCAUUUGGUGACUCUUGAUAAACUAAUCCUCUACCCAAUUCUUCAAGCAAGUCAUGCAUCCCAAUUGUGCCAUGCUCAAUAUUUAUGAGGGCCUUGUCUACGAGUACUUUAAUAGCAUACUUAGGCUUGAGGUCACAACCUUCCAGGAUCGGUAUCACAUUGUACACCUUUCUACCUUUAAAGAAACAUGCUAUGUCAAGGAAAACUUCUUGCACUGAAUAUUCCAAUGCAUCAUAGCUUAUUUUGAGAGUUUUUUUAAUGUCCGAGUGCAGAUUCCCAUCCAAUGCAUCAUGUCACUCAUCUAUACUUCUACCACAUAGAUGAGAACCUAAAACCUUGAGAGCUAAAGGAAGACCUUGAGCAUGCUUCACCACAGUUUCUGCAGCUUUCACAUAAUCAUCAUCCAAAUUUUUAUUUCUCCCACCAUUCCAACUAAUGAAGAGAUCAAGAGAUUCACCAAAGUCUAAUUUCUUGGCCUUGUAUAUUAUACUAACUUGAUGAGAAGUUAGCAAAUGCUUAUCUCUUGUCGUUAUGAUAAUUCUACUGCCCAAACCAAACCAAUCACAACCUCCAACUAAGUUGUUUAACUGGUCCAAAUGAUCCACAUCAUCUACAAUUACAAGGACCUUUUUACGACUCAACCUUUCCUUUAUCACAUUGAUUCCUUUAUCGGCACUGGUAACCUUUAUGGUCGCUUACUGAAAAAAGCUAGUCAUGAAGUUUUCAGGGGGAGAUAUUCAUCAGGGGGAGCAUGGUAUUAAUAAAGACCUUCACACACUGUACUCUUUUUCCUUCAUCCAGGUUUUUAUCCCACUGGGUUUUUCCUGGUAAAGUUUUAACGAGGCAGUAUCGCUGAAGAUUGACUCACAGAAGCAGUGUCAACUACGAUAUUCAGAAAGAUGAUCAACAGUAUGGCUUAAAGAUAUUUUGCCAAGCAUCAGGGGGAGCGUGCUACCAAUAAAGAUCUUCAAACACUGUACUCUUUUUCCUUCGUCCAGGUUUUUAUCCCACUGGGUUUUUCCUGGCAAGGUUUUAACGAGGCAGUGUCGCACGCGUGUCAAUAUACACAGAAUUUUAUGUUACACAUGAUUAUGUACUCUUUUUCCCUUUGACCAGUUUUUGUCCCAUUGGAUUUUUACUGGCAAGGUUUUUAACGAGGCAUAUUCCAUAUCAUUUGUGGUCUCCAAGGGGGAGUGUUGUAAAUAAUAAGGUGGAGCCCACCUCCAAUUGAAAGAGGCUUUGCCUACAAAAGGGUUCACACCAUUCCUUUGUAAUUUGAGAUUGAUAAUACUAAGAGAGGAAUCCUACUGUUUCCUCCUAUCUCAAUUCCCUCUCCACUUUCUCUAGAUUUAUAACAUUUUCAACAUUUUUCAUGUAUUUUUCGGUUUCAUAUCGUGAUAUAUUGCCCAAAUAAUGCAUGAAAAAUGUUGAAAUUAUCGUCUACGACAUUAUCCCGAUAAUAUCGACAAAAAUAUUGAUAUAUUGACGAUAAUUAAGUGGAUAUGUGCAAAAAUAUCUCCCACUCAAAAAAGAAUUGACGAUAUUUAAUACUAUGGUUGUGAUCAAUGUUAUGGCUAGUACCCAAUGUUAUAUAACUCGCAAGAAAGAAUUCAACCUACCCGUAGUUUAGACAGUAACUAUUUAAUUAAAGAUUACAAUCUGGUUUGGUUAAGUUAACUGACUAUAUAUAUUCUGGAAAAAAAAAAACUGACUAUAUAUAUAUUUAUAAAUAAAUAAAAACAACUUGUGUACUUUGUUUUUGUUUGUUUAUUUGUUAAAAAAUAAUAUAUGGUUUAAUGGGUUGUCUUGUUAAGGGAAAGCAAUAAUUUAAACUUUUGGAAAAACAAUAAUCCCAAAUGUAAGAACCAUUCAUCCACUAAUAGCUUGCAAAAAUAUAAUUUAAAUGGAAAAACAAAAAACAAAUACACUAGUAAUAAGUUGGGAGAUUCAUUAUAAUACCCAAUAUAGGAGUCCAAAUUAUAAAAAAAGCCCUAUAUGAAAUAGACUUUAGAAACACACCAAAAGCUCAUUUACAACAUAACAAAAAGGCUUUUAACUUCUUUUAAAUUACAAUAUUGCCAUUGAUUUCUUAAAACAAACCCAGCCCAAAAACCUCAUAAAAAAGCCCAAAACACUCAAUGGGGCAUCGAAGUAAUUUAAUGAUUAUAAUUAAAUUCAACAGGGUCUGCUGUCAUUUUUUGGGUUUUUUUUGAGUAUGUUUAUAGAAAUUAAAUAGUGUAGGAUUUAUUUAUAGUUUUAGUGCUAAGAAUGAGUAUUUGACUAAAUAUUUCUAAUGAGUUUAUGUAUCUACUAAAACUUAAUUACAUGGAGGCAAUCUAAUGGAUCACUAAUGAUUUUUUAAUCAAAACAACCUAGUUAUAUAUAAUUACUGAAAAAAAUAAUAAUCUCAUUUUUCACGGCCCGAGAAGCGAGCAAAGGUCCUUCAACAAGUUAAACAUGUUUAGAAGGUGUCACCAAGGCACAAAACGGUCCAUAAGCAAACGAACUUUGGCAUCUGAAAGCGUAGAGGAAUCCAAGUCCCUCUGAAUCUGAGCCAUUCUGCUGCUCUCUUUUCUUGCUUCUUUCAACACUUGUCGUUGUUCUUCAACCUCAUCAUCACCUUCUCCUUGCUUGGCCUUUGAUGAAAACACCAUUCGCUUCUUAGCCCCCACCUUGUCUUUCAGCUUUGCCAACUCGCUCAUCCAAACCUCCACCACUGCAGACAUGCUUGAACUUGAAAACUUGAAAUUCUGGCUUGGUCUUGAAUCUUGAGUUUGAUCAAGGAUGAUGAGGAGAGCUGGCUAUUAUGGUUGUUGGUUAUAUAGAAGACAGAGAGAGAGAAAGAGGGCCUUGCCCUUCAUGUGGUUUGGAUUGGAUGAAAAAUCAGUUUGUCACAGACAGCCGUUGGUUAUAGGCUCGCACACAGGAUUAAGUUUUAGGAAUCUUCCUUGGAAAGAGAGAGAGAGAGAGAGAGAGAGAGAGAGACAAGAAAGGGGUAUGAGUUUUGUUGUGUGAAUGAAAAGCUUCCCCGCGGGCGGGCGACUUGGCAUAUCAUCAAUAGUAUUCCAUUGCGAAUCUCUUUCUCCGAAAUACCUAUUCACCUCUUCAUCAUCAUCUUCAGUAAAAGUAGCCAUCUUCAUUAUCUUCACAGCUGAAGUAGUCAGGUUCCGAGUCUUGCUCAUCUUCACAUAGAUCAACACAAUUAUCUCCAUCAAACCUCUCAUUAGCAUCUUCCAAGUUAUCGGAUUCAGACUCACCAUCUUCCGUAAAUAUAGACAGGUCUUCAUCAUCCUGUGUCAUUACCAGGUGGACCCCGAAGCUUUUAAAAUGCAGCGAAUCUUGUGUCAAAUUCUGGAAAUUAACUCGACACGCAAAAGGCGACUGCGGCCAG
rnacentral:lncRNA from 1 species